AGAGGUGGAGUUCAAUAGUAGAGCAUUUGCUUAACAUGUAUAAGGCCCUGGGUUCAAUCCCCAGUACUUUAG
rnacentral:tRNA from 1 species